rnacentral:rRNA from 1 species
UACGAAGGGGGGCUAGCGUUGUUCGGAAUUACUGGGCGUAAAGCGCGCGCAGGCGGUCUUCCAAGUCAGUGGUGAAAGCCCGGAGCUCAACUCCGGAACUGCCAUUGAAACUGUGAGACUGGAGUACGAGAGAGGUGAGUGGAAUUCCCAGUGUAGAGGUGAAAUUCGUAGAUAUUGGGAAGAACACCCGUAGCGAAGGCGGCACUCUGGGCCGGAACUGACGCUGAGGAGCGAAAGCGUGGGGAGCAAACAGG